GAACGAAGCAUAGGAGUGGAAUUUUUCGGAAGGAAACAACUAUGACUGAGUGGCGGACGGGUGAGUAACGCGUGGGUAACCUGCCUCAUACAGGGGGAUAACAGUUAGAAAUGACUGCUAAUACCGCAUAAGCGCACAAAACCGCAUGGUUUGGUGUGAAAAACUGAGGUGGUAUGAGAUGGACCCGCGUCUGAUUAGCUAGUUGGAGAGGUAACGGCUCACCAAGGCAACGAUCAGUAGCCGACCUGAGAGGGUGACCGGCCACAUUGGGACUGAGACACGGCCCAAACUCCUACGGGAGGCAGCAGUGGGGAAUAUUGCACAAUGGGGGAAACCCUGAUGCAGCAACGCCGCGUGGGUGAAGAAGUAUUUCGGUACGUAAAGCCCUAUCAGCAGGGAAGAAGAGAGACGGUACCUGACUAAGAAGCCCCGGCUAACUACGUGCCAGCAGCCGCGGUAAUACGUAGGGGGCAAGCGUUAUCCGGAUCUACUGGGUGUAAAGGGAGCGUAGACGGCUUGAUAAGUCUGAAGUGAAAGGCCAAGGCUUAACCAUGGAACUGCUUUGGAAACUAUGAGGCUAGAGUGCUGGAGAGGUAAGCGGAAUUCCUAGUGUAGCGGUGAAAUGCGUAGAUAUUAGGAGGAACACCAGUGGCGAAGGCGGCUUACUGGACAGAAACUGACGUUGAGGCUCGAAAGCGUGGGGAGCCAACAAGAUUAGAUACCCUGGUAAUCCACGCCGUAAACCAAUGAUUGCUAAGGUGUUGGUGGGGCAAAGCCCAUCGGUGCCGUCGCAAACGCAAUAAGCAUUCCACCUGGGGAGUACGUUCGCAAGAAUGAAACUCAAAGGAAUUGACGGGGACCCGCACAAGCGGUGGAGCAUGGGGUAUAAAAAAAAGCAACGCGAAGAACCUUACCAAGUCUUGACAUCCUCCUGAAUGAUGGGUAAAACCAUCAGGCCUUCGGGACAGGAGAGACAGGUGGUGCAUGGUUGUCGUCAGCUCGUGUCGUGAGAUGUUGGGUUAAGUCCCGCAACGAGCGCAACCCUUAUCAUUAGUAGCCAGCAGGUAGAGCUGGGGACUCUAGUGAGACUGCCAGGGAGAACCUGGAGGAAGGUGGGGAUGACGUCAAAUCAUCAUGCCCCUUAUGAUUUGGGCUACACACGUGCUACUUUGGGAUAAACAGAGGGAGGCGAAAGUGAGAGCUGAAGCGAACCCCAAAAAUAACGUCUCAGUUCGGAUUGUAGUUUAAAGCUCGACUACAUGAAGCUGGAAUCGCUAGUAAUC
rnacentral:rRNA from 1 species